rnacentral:rRNA from 1 species
GAUGAACGCUGGCGGCGUGCCUAAUACAUGCAAGUCGAGCGAACAGAUAAGGAGCUUGCUCCUUUGACGUUAGCGGCGGACGGGUGAGUAACACGUGGGUAACCUACCUAUAAGACUGGGAUAACUUCGGGAAACCGGAGCUAAUACCGGAUAACAUUUGGAACCGCAUGGUUCUAAAGUGAAAGAUGGUUUUGCUAUCACUUAUAGAUGGACCCGCGCCGUAUUAGCUAGUUGGUAAGGUAACGGCUUACCAAGGCGACGAUACGUAGCCGACCUGAGAGGGUGAUCGGCCACACUGGAACUGAGACACGGUCCAGACUCCUACGGGAGGCAGCAGUAGGGAAUCUUCCGCAAUAGGCGAAAGCCUGACGGAGCAACGCCGCGUGAGUGAUGAAGGGGUUCGGCUCGUAAAACUCUGUUAUUAGGGAAGAACAAAUGUGUAAGUAACUGUGCACGUCUUGACGGUACCUAAUCAGAAAGCCACGGCUAACUACGUG